rnacentral:rRNA from 1 species
CUAUGCGCCUUGCCAGCCCGCUCAGGUGUGCCAGCCGCCGCGGUAAUACGUAGGUGGCAAGCGUUGUCCGGAUUUACUGGGUGUAAAGGGCGUGUAGCCGGGCUGACAAGUCAGAUGUGAAAUUCCGGGGCUCAACCCCGGACCUGCAUUUGAAACUGUUGGUCUUGAGUAUCGGAGAGGCAGGCGGAAUUCCUAGUGUAGCGGUGAAAUGCGUAGAUAUUAGGAGGAACACCAGUGGCGAAGGCGGCCUGCUGGACGACAACUGACGGUGAGGCGCGAAAGCGUGGGGAGCAAACAGG